rnacentral:rRNA from 1 species
CAGUCGCCGCGGUAAUCCGUAGGUCCCGAGCGUUGUCCGGAUUUAUUGGGCGUAAAGCGAGCGCAGGCGGUUAGAUAAGUCUGAAGUUAAAGGCUGUGGCUUAACCAUAGUACGCUUUGGAAACUGUUUAACUUGAGUGCAAGAGGGGAGAGUGGAAUUCCAUGUGUAGCGGUGAAAUGCGUAGAUAUAUGGAGGAACACCGGUGGCGAAAGCGGCUCUCUGGCUUGUAACUGACGCUGAGGCUCGAAAGCGUGGGGAGCAAACAGGAUUAGAUACCCCUGUAGUCCCUGUCUCUUAUACC